UGUUCUACUAAUGGAAAUUAUCUAAUUUCAUCCAAGUGCAGCUCCAGAGAGAGCUGGGCUGACGCACAAACAGUCAAUAUAACAACAUUCUUCUUGAAGAGCUGAACAAUAGGGCUUUGGUGGGACUGUGAUUAACAACGUCAGACCGAGAACAAACAGAAGGUGUAAAAAUAGGCAUCUGAGGAGCUGACACAACGGACUAUUUUUCAUCUGUAAGGCCAGAGGAGAAUGGCUUGUUAAAUUGUGUGCUCGGAGCACUUCAUCAGAUGCCGUGUGGAAGAACAAAAAAAAAAAAAUAUCCCAUUUCCCAUCUGGGUCUGAGUGUACGAAGGAACUGCACAUGCCUUAUUAAUAUAAAUCAUACUAGGAGCAUAAUUCCCAUUAGCAUUGAAGAGCCGUUUUUCAAUGAAAGACUCUUGCACCAGGAACACCUAAGGGGAAAUAACAAUGUUUGCUUCAUUUGAAGAGAAUAGUAAAAUACAGCCUGGGGACUGAGGAGGCAGAGAGCUGUUCCUUCUCUCCAAUGCUACAGGUUUGGGGUUUCUAUGCAACUAUCAUGAGCCACCGCCUUCCCCACCCCCUCCCAGAAGCUGUAUCCACAUGUGGUGAAGAGGUGGGCAUCCAGAUGUGCCAGUCCAAGGAGUGGGACCAUGGGCACGUGUUGGCCCCCGGCCUCUGCAUUGCCCCAUGGGGAUGCGUUCCCUUUCCCUCAGUCCCAGCUCUCAAGGAAAGGAAGCUCUGGCCUUGAAACUUUAGACAACAUUUCCACCUCUGGUUAAGCAGGCCAUGUCCAUCGGUGCCACAUCUCCAUGGUUCUUGAACCCCUCCAGGGAUGGUGACUCCACCACCGCCCUGGGCAGCUUCACCGCUCUUCCUGAGAAGAAAUUUCUCCUAAUAUCCAACCAAAAAUGGUGGAACCCAUGGAAAUGGCUAAGAAUGAAGGGGAAGUUGGGGAGCUGGGUAAUGUCCAGCAUCCGAUGGGUGCGCAAAGCACAGGGAGGUGUUCCAAGAGGAGGAAACCUGGGACAGCUUCAGAGCACGGAAGGGAAAAGCCCUGUGGCUGAUCCCAGCCCAGCAGCCGACCCUGAGCUCCAGGAUGAAUGAGUGCCUCGGGGAGCUGAGAAAUGAGACAACGCAGUGAGAAGAGGACAGUGAGUGCAGACACUGCCAGUACCGAACCUUUGGAAUUCACUGCUGCAGGACGGAUAGCCAACGACUCGUGGUGAUGUGCUCUAGCAGAAGGAAAAUCAAAGUGCCCUUUUAUAACUGUUCAGAUAUAAAGUGAAGGGCAUCCAGCCCCCUGACACCAGCAUGGAGAAUGAUGUGUGGGAGGGACUGUGGGAAAUGACCUCACCAUGCACGGCCAUGCCCACUGGCCGUGUUUCCAUCACACAGGGCACAGAGCAAGUGGGCAGUGCCCAGGGAGAGGACACAUCUCUUUUGGGCAGAUGGGUCCCAUUAGGGUUCUUUAAAGGCAGCAAUGGCACCAUUCUGCAGAGGUGUGCUCCUAGCAAGGAAGGCACUGUUUUAAAGCCCACCAGGCUGGUGCUCUCUGUGUUUAAGUCCACUCAGAGCAUGGAAGGAGGGCUGGAAGAAAACCAAUAAUUACUCUCAGAUAAAAUUAGUUUUACAAAGUGAUUUUCUUCUAGAAUCUUGGAUUCACACACGGGCUGCCUGUACUGUAGAUAUACCUGCAUUCUGAUAGCUCUAUUUCCAGUGUUCCUGCAUUUCUGACUGCUGUUGGCAAGAAGCUGUAGAUUGUUUCUCACACAGUUUUCUUAUGCAGUCUUUAGUGUCUCCUCCAAUCCUGGAUGUCCUUUAAACAUUGCACCUUUAAGGUACUGCUACUGCAGGGGCCACGGCAGGAGGCAUUACUGCACAAACCAGAUGAGUAUGGGGGAUUUAGGUGGAGUUACUCCAAUUAAACCACUGGAGAAUGCCCUGCUCUAGGAAUGGCAACUGCCCUAUUAAAGCAAGCUGGGUGUGUGCAUCCCAGCAGCUGUGCAGGAGCACAGCACAGUGGGGCAGCACUGCUGCCGUGUCUCCUCUCAUCAGCUGCUGGGGCUAAUUGCAGGGGCUCUCUGCAGACCUCUCAGCUUGUGUGGCCUGGAAAAUCCCAGGGACAAUCUUCAGGCAGUGCACAGGUGGGGUAACCCAUGGAGCCUGCAAUGCCAAAGCAGAGAGUUUGGGGAAUGGUGGCAGAAAAGCUUUUCUUCCAGGUGGAGUUAAUCCUCUGCAUGCUGACACCCCUGGGGGAGGGAGCAGGCAGGCAGGGUUGGAGAAAAUUUGGGAGACUGCUGUUUCAACUUUGAGCAGCUUAAACACAAACCCUACAGCACCAAGGGAUCGCAGCUCCAAAUGCCUGAAAAUGGGCUUCCCAAAGGCUGGCACACAGAGCAGAACUGCCUGACCCAACUGCAAGGAAACUCUGAGGAAGGGACCAUCUUGACCCGGCUGUCCCGCAGCAGGCAGCUUCCUUUCCCAGGGCUGUGGGGAUGCUAGUUAUUACCCUGGUGUUUUUAAAAAUAGGAUUGAUGUAGCUGCAAGUUUUCAUGAAAAAUAAAGAGAAAUAAAGGAAUGAAGAACGAAAGAGAAGAUAGAAAAAGGGGAAGAAAGGAAGGAAGGAAGAAAAGAAAGAAAAAGAAAUGAAGAAAGAAACAAAACAAAUGAAGAAAGAAGGAAAAAAAGGAAAGGAGGGAAGGGAAAGGAAGGGAAAGAAAGAAAUGAAGAAAGGAAAGAAAAAGAAAGGAAGGAAAGAAAGAAAAAGAAAUGAAGAAAGAAGAGAAAGAAAUGAAAAGUGAAAAGAAAGAAGUGAAAAAGAAAUUUAAAAAAAUGAAGAAAAGGACAGGAGAAAGAAGGAAGGAAGGGAGGAAGAAGAAGGGAAGGAAGGAAGGAAGAAAGUAUGAAAGGAAGAAACAAAGGAAGAAAAAAAUAGGAAAUAAAGUAGGAAAGAAAGGAAGAGGGAAAGAAAGUAAGGAAGAAGGGAAGAAGGAAAAAGAAAGAAAAGAAAGAAGGGAAAAAAAGAAAGAAAGAAGAAGGGAAGAAAGAAAGAAGGAGUGCGAAGGGCCGUGGCACAGCGGUGCCGUCGCGGAGCGGCGCGGAGCAGCGCGCAGCCCCAGCGCUGUGCCCUCGGCAGGUGGCGGCAGAGCGCGGCCGUGGGCCGGGGGGGGCCGGGGGUGCUCGGGCUGCGCUGCACCAGGGGGAUCCGAGGGGCCGUGCGAAGCGAUUGAAAAACGAAGUCUUCUAGAGAAAGCAGGAGUUUUGAUUUGCAAUACACAAGGGCGGAUUUGCGUCACCCAAGCAACUUGCUGGUCGAGAUAAAGUUGCACAAAUAUUGAAAAGGGAAGUGCUCGCGCUCAUUAUGAAGUUUUUCUCCGGAAGAAAUAAGGAUUUCUGCUGUAUCCUAAAAUACUGAAGCCGCUUCUAUUUUAGGACAAAUCUCGCAGGCACAUCCGCUCAUUUAGUCCGAGUUGGAACCUCUCGAAAAAACAGGAGAUGACCCGGGCUGCAGCCGAGCCCCGCGCUUCCUGCAGCCUUCGGGCACCGCUGCGCACGGGCUGCGCGGCCGCGCAAAGCUGCGCGCCCC
ensembl:lncRNA